GAAGCAUGAUGAUGAUGAUUACAUAUAAUACCGAUUCAUAAAUUUCAUGAUUGGAAUAAAUCACCUCCUACUCAUUCUGA